CUCUUAAUAUUUCAAUUCCAAAAACCAAAUAUUUGUCAAAAUGGCUUCUCUCAAGCGGUUCUCCCUUACCUAUGUUGUCAUUGCUCUCAUCUUUGGUGUUAUUUUGGCUUCCUCACUUGCGAAUGCUGGUAGAACUAUUGACGGAGAACUGCAACAAGAUAUUGCUGGAACUUUUAAGUGUCGCGGGACGGCCCACAUAUGCAACGGAAGUGGCGACUGUGCUACUAAAUGUAGCCAGCUUGGUUUCCGUCAAGCUAUCUGUACUCCUUUGAAAUCGUAUUUUUUUGGAGAUAAAUAUUGCUGCUGCUAUUAAUCAAGGCAGGCGCCAUUAAUUGCGAUCACUUGCGCUCAUGAAGUUGUAGUUUUUGUUUUAGUUAAUAAGGUAUUUUCUUAGAAUGGAAGAUGAGUUGUUGUUCAUCAUGCAUCUUGAACGUAUCCAUUAGUAUUAUUUGGAACAGCUACUAUCA